rnacentral:rRNA from 1 species
AUACGGAGGGUGCAAGCGUUGUUCGGAAUCACUGGGCGUAAAGGGCGCGCAGGCGGCUAUUUAAGUUGGAUGUGAAAGCCUAUGGCUCAACCAUAGAACUGCAUCCAAAACUAUUUAGCUAGAGUGUGGGAGAGGAAGAUGGAAUUAGUUGUGUAGGGGUAAAAUCCGUAGAGAUAACUAGGAAUACCAAAAGCGAAGGCAAUCUUCUGGAACACUACUGACGCUGAGGCGCGAAAGCGUGGGGAGCAAACAGGAUUAGAAACCCUAGUAGUCC